GCUUUCCUCUAGUCGACGCAUCCAGGCAAGGGUGGGCGUGAUGGAGCGGGGCGGGCCCUGCGACGGCCUCUGUCGCUUCCGGAUUCACCUAGGCACGAGAGGGGACUGCUCGUUGCCCGCUGGGGACGGGGGUGAAACCUGAGGUGUGGUGUGCUUGGCUAGAGGGGGUUAUGCGAAGGGUCCUGUCACGGCCUCUUUUCGGUAUGUCGUGGUGGCAUGUCGGCGCACGGAAACGUGUCGUGGGGCUGUGUCUUGUGGGUACAGUUGUACACCUCUGAUCAGAGUAAAACUAUUCGAAUAGCCGCGCCCGCGGUUAUGGGCGGUCAACCAGAUUCACCGUGAUUAGACUCACAUUAGUUUAGUCUAAUGAAUUUGGAUGGUAUAGGGGUUGGUUGGGCCUGUUGCAACGUGGUGUAGCGUUGGACAGUGGAUGCUUAAUACUGCUUAAUUAUUACAACUGUUUUCGCAUUCAACUCCUGUUUAUAAAUGCCAGUAUUUAUGCAAAUGAACCUGCUUAGCUAUCCCUUGUUGAAUCCAUGCAUCAUACCCCCAUUCCGGUAUGACUUGCUGAGUACAGUGGGUAGUACUCAGUCUUGCUCUAUUUUUCCCCCGAUCCCCAGAGUUCGAGUUUGGGUCAGAUGAAGGUUUCUCCGAGGAAUAGGCUUCGUCCGUGCCGUCGAGGAUGCCUGUGGAGUGGUGUUCCCGCUGCAGUUUAGUCAAGGCUUAGCUCCAGUUAUCUUUUGUUUUCCGCUGCAUUUCUGUAAGACUUUUAUGAUGUUUGUAAGACGUGGAUCUGAAUGUCAACAUUGUCGUUUGUGUACCCCGGCUGGUCCUGGACGGGGAUUUUAAUGCACACUCUGCUUGGAAUUCUAUUCGGGAAUUUCUGGGCGUGACAAGUUGGUAUCAGAGCCAGGUUGACCGUAGGACAAGCCAAAUGGAAACCUAAGAGCCCUCUGAAUCCUUUUCAUUGCAUAUGUUCUUUGCAAUUGGAUUUGUUCCGGGAAAAUUGGGAUCUGUUCUUGUGGUUCAAGGGAAAAAUCUUGGUCGCUCGUUUAAGUGAGAUUUUUCAAAACGAGUCAGUCUAGGGUUUUAGUAAAACUAUUGGGAUUUAUUCGUCAGUCAGUUGGGGUUUGAUGGGUGAAAUGCAUUAGGUCCUAGCUCAGGAACAUGGGUUGCAAGGUAUUUAUGCUUUAUUUGUUAUUAUUAAUAUGUAUCUAAUUUCUCAUUAUUUUAUCGUUAUGUGAGUCUGUCUUGUUUAUUCGCUCUCAUGCAAAAUGAUCUAUGCAUAAAAAUUUCGCUCUUAUUCCUUUCCCUUAUUUGAGUCUUUUAUUGCUUUAUUUAAAUUUGGAUUUGAGCAUGCAUUGAUCCUACUCCUUUGUCUUCUCUAGAUGGCCGGUCACCCACCCAACCACCGCGGAGAAGGCAUGAUCGACUUUGUGGCAGAGCUGGCACGCAUGACACUGGUGGUGGGCUACCCCAACGCGCCAGAGUACACGACGAUUCCGCCGCUCAGUGGCGAGCUUCCUCACCGUGUCCGCUUGGAGGUCCAUGGCUACGUGGGGACUUGCCUCGCUAACAUGGCGGUCGAGGCAUGUGGAGGCACAGCAGAUCAUGCCUGUCAGGAGGCAGCCUACUUGAUGAUGGCCAGACUACGGGAGCGCCACAACUACAUCUUCCACGACACGGCGUACCGCUACCACCCCCGUCGAGCCAACGGUGAUGGCGUCAGCUCCUUCCGUCCGACAGCCGGCGAGAACGACACCACAUUUGGUCACAUGUGUGCUGUGAUGAGGGGAUUGGACAGGAUGCACUCGGACCUGCACAAGGCGACCAAGGCCUUGAACGAUGGGAAGCUCAUGAGGAUCGUCGCUCUGAAGGACGAGAUAGCGCGCCUGAAGAAGGAGAACGCUCAGCUAAAGGGUCUUCCAGCGCCAGGAGGAGUCCGGAUCCGCACUACGCCCCGCAAGACGACGACGGCACCCGUGCGCAUCCAGCUUGCGCCCAGGAACCCACCUCCACCAGCAGCUCCCGCAGCACCUCCAGUUCCGCCCGCAGCUCCGGCAGUUCCUGCAGCUCCAGCUCCAGCUCCAGCUCCAGCUCCCGCGUUCGCUCUCUCCUUCGCUCCAGCAUCAGCCGCCAGAGGUCCAGCCAGUGGCACCGGAGGUUGGUUGUCUGCUACUCCCAGUGGCUCAGAGUCAGGCAGUGGCGAGACUUAUCUGCCAGGUUCCAGGAGUCGCUCAGAGGGACCUGGUGACGAGCAGGAGGACGCCUUCGACUCCACCGACCGCAGGAGCCGUUCCGAGCAUUAGGCUCGUUUUCCAUUAGUUUAUCGACUGUCUAGCUUUUGCUUGUUAGUUUGUGUGUUUAGGUUGCUUGUUUGGGUCAGUCGACGGUCGAUAUCAUGUGCCUAUGAUAUGGCUGUCUUAAUAAGGAUUUUUGUUUGCUCUUUUAAGUGUUUUAAUUCAGAUCAGAACAAUUGCAGUUUAAAUUCCUUUGUAAUAAAGCUUAGUUCCUGAGCAUCUGUUUUUCUUCUUUUCCCCCAUCUGCUUUUCCCUCCAGAUGGUCUACACCAGGACUGGUAGCCGCGCAACAGGCGAGGACAGCAACGGCGAAGAACGCGCUGAUGGUGUGCACCCUAGCAGUGAUUCCGGCAAUGGUCCGCCCCCGCUUCCCGAGAAUCCGACGCUAGCCCAAGUUAUGGCACAUCAGACUCAGAUGAUGGCGGCCAUGAUGCAGCAGAUGCAGCAGCAGCACCAGCAGAUGCACCAGAGGAUGCUGCAGCACGCCGAACAGCAGCACCAGCAGCUUGGUCCCCCUCCCCCUCAGUCCAAGUUGCCAGAGUUUCUACGCGUCAGGCCACCCACCUUCUCCAGCACCACCAACCCUAUGGAGGCAAAUGACUGGCUCCAUGCGAUAGAGAAGAAGCUGAAUCUCCUGCAGUGCAAUGAUCAGGAGAAGGUCGCUUUCGCCACGCACCAGCUUCAGGGUCCUGCGUCAGCUUGGUGGGACAACCACAUGGCCACCCGCCCACCGGGUACUGAAGUCACAUGGGCAGAGUUCUGCCGUAGCUUCAGGAAGGCACAGGUGCCAGAUGGGGUCGUGGCGCAAAAGAAGAGGGAAUUUCGUGCACUCCAUCAGGGCAACCGGACUGUGACAGAGUACCUCCACGAGUUCAAUCGCCUCGCGCGAUAUGCACCAGAGGAUGUCCGCACCGACGCCGAGAAGCAGGAGAAGUUCAUGGCGGGUCUGGAUGAUGAGCUGACCAACCAACUGAUAUCUGGGGACUACGCCGACUUUGAGAGGCUAGUUGACAAGGCAAUUCGUCAGGAGGACCAACGCAACAAGAUGGACAGGAAGAGGAAGGCCGCUCAGUUCAGGGCACAUCAGGGAAGUCACCAGAGGCCGCGCUUCACUUCCGGACAGCAGGGUGGACCUACCACCAUGAUCGUCCGCCAGCACCGCCCGUUCAACCCUAGCAACUUCCCCCAGGGCGCCAGUGGCAGUCAGAACCACCAUGGAGGUCAGCCCAACCGCGGUGCAGCUCCACGCCCACCAAUGGCACCGGCACAGUCAGGCCAGCCCGCGCAAGCCAAGAAGGAGACGGGAGCAAAACCAGGGUCCUGCUUCAACUGUGGCGAGCUUGGCCAUUUCGCUGACAAAUGCCCGAAGCCCAGGCGUGCCGGGCCAAGGUUUAUCCAGGCUCGUGUCAACCACGCAUCUGCGGAGGAGGCACAAGCAGCACCAGAGGUCGUACUGGGUACGUUCCCUGUUAACUCAAUCCCUGCAACAGUACUUUUUGAUUCUGGUGCGACGCAUUCUUUCAUUUCAAAGAAAUUUGUCGGGAUGCAUGGGUUAAUUAGAGAGGAACUUAGCACACCAAUGCGGGUUCAUACCCCAGGAAAUAGCUCUACUUCGGUUCAAUUCAGCCCUUCUAUAACAAUAGAAAUUCAAAGGUCACUAUUUCUAGCCAACCUCAUUCUUCUCGAAUCCAAAGACCUAGAUGUCAUUCUUGGGAUGGAUUGGCUGACCAAGUUUAAGGGGGUCAUCGAUUGUGCGAAUCGCACCGUCACCUUGACCAACGAGAAGAGAGAAACCGUGGUGUACAAAUCUCUAGUCUCGCCAAAGAAAGGGGUCUCGUUGAAUCAGAUUGAGACGGAAAUCCCAGUGGACACCGUAGAGAAGAACUUGAGAAAAUUGGAAGAUAUACCCAUAAUCUGCGAGUAUCCAGAAGUGUUCCCCGAAGACCUCACUACCAUGCCACCCAAGAGAGAGAUUGAAUUCCGGAUUGACUUGGCACCGGGAACUGCUCCAAUCUAUAAGAGACCGUACAGAAUGGCGGCCAACGAAUUAGCAGAGGUUAAGAAGCAAGUUGAUGAGCAGCUGCAGAAAGGGUACAUACGACCAAGCACUUCACCUUGGGGCGCUCCGGUCAUUUUUGUGGAGAAAAAGGAUAAGACGAAGAGGAUGUGCGUCGAUUAUUGCGCACUUAACGAGGUCACAAUCAAGAAUAAAUAUCCUUUACCGCGGAUCGAUGAUUUGUUUGAUCAACUGAAAGGAGCUAGAGUGUUUUCUAAGAUAGACCUGCGAUCAGGCUACCACCAGUUGAGAAUUCGGGAAGAGGAUAUCCCGAAGACGGCCUUCACCACUCGGUACGGGCUAUAUGAGUGCACGGUUAUGUCUUUCGGACUUACCAACGCACCCGCAUUCUUCAUGAAUCUGAUGAACAAAGUGUUCAUGGAAUUUCUGGACAAGUUUGUUGUGGUGUUCAUCGACGACAUUCUUAUCUAUUCAAAGUCCGAAGAAGAACAUGAACAACAUCUCCGUCUAGUACUCGAGAAGUUGAAGGAACACCAGCUAUAUGCCAAGUUCAGCAAGUGUGACUUCUGGUUGACGGAAGUCAAAUUUCUGGGCCAUGUCAUUACAGCUCAGGGUGUGGCAGUUGAUCCAUCGAACGUGGAGUCAGUUACCAAAUGGACCCCACCUAAGACCGUGUCGCAGAUUCGGAGUUUUCUUGGACUUGCGGGUUAUUACCGCCGAUUCAUUGAAAAUUUCUCCAGGAUCGCCCGACCCAUGACUCAGUUGCUUAAGAAGGAUGAGAAGUUUAAAUGGACAGCUGAGUGCGAUAAGAGCUUCGAGGAGCUCAAGCAGAAAUUAGUAUCCGCACCAGUUUUGAUUCUGCCCGACCCGAUGAAAGACUUCCAAGUCUAUUGUGAUGCAUCCCAUCACGGACUUGGAUGUGUCCUAAUGCAAGAGGGCAGAGUGGUUGCGUAUGCCUCGCGGCAGUUGCGUCCACACGAAGGAAAUUAUCCCACUCAUGACUUGGAAUUGGCAGCAGUGGUUCAUGCUUUGAAGAUCUGGAGGCACUAUCUGAUUGGAAACCGCUGCGAAGUAUAUACGGACCAUAAGAGUCUGAAAUACAUCUUCACCCAACCGGACCUAAACCUUCGACAACGAAGAUGGUUGGAGCUAAUCAAAGACUAUGACAUGAGUAUUCACUACCACCCGGGUAAAGCCAAUGUGGUGGCAGACGCUUUAAGCCGGAAAAGUUACUGCACUGCCCUAUGCGUCGAGGGCAUGUGUGAGGAAUUGCGGCAGGAGUUUGAACAUCUCAACGUGGGAAUUGUUGAACACGGGUUCGUAGCCGCUCUGGAGGCACGGCCUACGCUCGUGGAUCAAGUUAGAGCCGCUCAAGUAAAUGAUCCGGAAAUAGCAGAGCUGAAAAAGAACAUGAGAGUCGGAAAGGCUCGGGAUUUCCUUGAGGAUGAGCAUGGCACAAUCUGGAUUGGAGAAAGAUUGUGUGUACCUGACGACAAGGAAUUGAAGGAUCUGAUACUCACCGAGGCUCAUUAGACCCAGUACUCCAUUCACCCAGGCAGCACUAAAAUGUAUCAAGACCUCAAAGAAAAGUUUUGGUGGGUCAGCAUGAGGAGAGAAAUAGCGGAAUUCGUCGCACUCUGUGACGUUUGCCAACGAGUGAAGGCAGAGCACCAAAGACCCGCAGGUUUACUCCAACCUCUUCAAAUCCCGGAAUGGAAAUGGGAGGAGAUUGGAAUGGACUUUAUAACGGGACUGCCCCGGACAUCAUCGGGACAUGAUUCAAUCUGGGUAGUCGUGGAUCGACUCACCAAGGUGGCUCACUUUAUACCAGUACAUACCACCUAUACGGGAAAGAGAUUGGCAGAAUUGUACCUCGCAAGGAUCAUGUGUUUGCAUGGGGUACCCAAGAAGAUAGUAUCCGACCGAGGUAGUCAGUUCACCUCAAAGUUUUGGCAGAAACUGCAGGAAGAAAUGGGGACCCGUUUAAAUUUCAGCACGGCCUAUCACCCGCAAACUGAUGGUCAGACCGAGCGAGUCAAUCAAAUCUUGGAAGAUAUGUUGAGAGCUUGCGCUCUUGAUUUUGUUGGAGCUUGGGACAAAAGCUUGCCAUAUGCAGAAUUCUCGUACAACAACAGCUACCAGGCCAGUCUACAGAUGGCACCGUUUGAAGCUUUAUACGGCCGGAAGUGCCGCACACCUCUCUUCUGGGAUCAGACAGGCGAACGUCAACUGUUCGGAACAGAAGUAUUAGCGGAAGCAGAAGAGAAAGUCAGAAUCAUCAGGGAAAGGUUGAGGAUUGCUCAGUCUCGACAGAAGAGCUACGCGGAUAACCGUCGAAGGGAGCUCACUUUUGAGGCAGGAGAUUACGUGUAUCUUCGUGUCACUCCGCUCCGGGGAGUACACCAUUUUCAGACGAAAGGCAAGUUGGCACCACGCUUCGUAGGACCAUACAAAAUUUUGGAACGAAGGGGAGAAGUUGCUUAUCAGCUAGAACUUCCAUCCAACAUGAUCGGCAUCCAUGACGUGUUCCAUGUGUCCCAAUUAAAGAAGUGCUUAAGGGUACCUGAAGAACAGGCUGAUUCGGAGCACAUUGAUAUCCAAGAGGACCUAACAUAUGUGGAGAAGCCGGUUCGUAUACUUGAUACCAGCGAAAGGAGAACCAGAAACAAGGUCACCCGGUUUUGCCGAGUUCAGUGGAGUCAUCAUUCAGAAGAGGAAGCAACCUGGGAAAGGGAAGAUGAGUUGAAAGCCGCCCAUCCGCACCUCUUCACCAGCUCCUCCGAAUCUCGGGGCCGAGAUUCCGUUUAAGGGGGGUAGGUUUGUCACACCCCGAAGUUUUCCUCCCAAGCCAAAAUUGUAAUUUAUAAAUGAUCCCAAGAAAAUGCAGGUGAAAUCAGGAGAAAACCCUAAGGAAGUAAUGCAAAUAAUAAUCGGAUUUGACAUGUGGAAUUUUUCUUGAGUUCUACAUGUCGAAAUUCAUUAACAGGAUUUUUAGUGAAAUUUUCAGAGCUCUAGAAAUAAUUUUAACCAAUUAAAAUGGAGCAGGCAAUAUUGUUAAUUCCAGGGAAAAUCCUUUUUCCUUUUUCUUUUUCUUUUCCCUCCCUUUUCCUCCCUUUUUUUCGAAUGGGCCGCCGGCCCAUUCCCCUCCUUCCUUCCCUCCUCCUUGCUGGGCCGGCCGCAGGACGAAGCCCACCCAGGCCGCCCCGCUGCCUCCUCUCUCGGGGUCGCCGACAGGUGGGGCCCACCUGUCGGGCCCGUCUCCCUCCUCCCGCCGAUCCCGGCGCGCCGCCGCGCCCGCAACCGUCGCCGCGCCCACGUCUCCGCCUUCCCCGGGCCACGUCGACCACGCCCGCGCGUGCGCCGCGUCUCCCGCGCCCUUUCCCCUCUCUCUCCCGCUCGCGCCCGCGCCCGAGAUGGCCGGGAUUCGAAAAUCGAAUCCCGCCUCUCUCUCCUCCCCACUCCCCACGUCGGCCGGCGAUUCCCGCCUCUCCCGGCCACGUCCGGUUCUCUCUCCCCCUAUUUAAGCAUCGCCGUCGUCCUCUCUCACUUUUUCCCCAUUUCGCCGACCCCUCCCGAGCUCCCAUUGCUCCCGCGCCGUGCAACCACCCGCCGCCGCCGCUUCCGCUACUCCGGUCGCCGCUAGCCGCCGCUAGGCUCGCCGCCGCACCGCGCCGUCGCCGCCGUCGGGUUCGCGUGGCCGAGAUCCAUCCCGUCCACCCCUCUUUCGUCGAGGUCCAUCGCCGGAGAGCCGUUCCCGUCGUGCGACGGUGAGGGUCGCCAUGUCCGCCGCCUUCGGCCGGCAUCCCCGCCUCCUAUGGCCCCUCUCUUCCUCUCUAGUCCCUUUCGUUUCGUUCUUUAGGUCGUCCCGGUCGCCGUCCGCCGCGUGUCGACUGCCCUCCGUCGCUCCUCGUCGCCGGACGCCGUCGUCCCCUUCGGUGAGGACUCCUUCCCCUUUUCUCUACUUCCUCGAUUCUCCGUGCGUCGCCGCCGCCGCGCUUGCCGUCGCCUUUGGUCGUUGCCGCCGUCCACUGCCGCCGCUUUCGCGUCGCUUUUGCGCCGUCGCCUCCGCCGCCGGAUGCCGUCGCCGGCAACGCGACGUGCGCGUGCCGCCGCCGUCAGCCCCGGGUCGGCCGGUCGGCUUUGAUGCCGAGCCGAGCCCGGCGGCUGCCUCCACCGCCGCCGUCCGAUCGGCCCGAGGGCGAUCUGGGCCGUCGGUCCCGUGGACCGGCGGUGGACCACCCGCGUGGUCCCGGUCCACGGUGAACCGCUCACCCUUGAGUCGCUGACCAGUGGGCCCCGCAUGUCGGCGCCGCGCCCCCCCGUGCUGACGUCAGCCCUGGUUAAUAUUGCGCAAUAAAUUAUUUAAGGAUUUUUGUUAUAGUAAUAAACACAGUGAAUCUUCUAAAAUUCAUAACUAAUUCAUCCGAGCUCCGUUUAAUCCCAUUCAAGUCUCAGUAAAUCAAGAAAAAUGUGUAGAAUCCAUUAAAAAUGGUUUUGUUCCCUGUUUCAGUAGUCUUAUAGCCUGUUUGCAAUGUUUGCCUUGUAUGUCGCUAGAUUCCGGUUCCUCCGACGCUCCGGUGUACUUCGAGAUAGUCGCCGAGGUCCCUCCAGCAGCAGAGCAAGGCAAGUCAUGCUUGUCACUUGAUCAUAUUGAUCCUAUAUUGCAAAUGUCCUAAUGUUUUCUUUCAAAUACCGCAUUUGUUUUGCAAUGUUAAUAUGGGAUGGUUACCUAUUGUUACAGCCAUGCUAUUUUGAUACCAUGCUCCUUUGUUAGCUUGGGUUAUAACAUGAUUAGAGUUAGGACUAGGGUUUGCUUAGCCAUGCUUAGUUCAACUAGUUCACAAUGGGGAAAAUCAUAUUAAUGUUUAGACUGUUAGUUCUAAUGGUAAUGUUGGUUUAGUGACACCGCUUUGGUGUUGGUUAAUUAAAAUGAAUCACAUGGUGGGCUGUGGGUGCAUGGUUUUGCUGGUCGCACCCAUGGCAGUUAAGGACCGGUUCGCGGGAUGCCCUGGAAAAAUUUAUCGUACUUACCACAAGCCAGCGUGGGCAACGGCUGGGCUUGUAGUGUAGCUUUCCUCUAGUCGACGCAUCCAGGCAAGGGUGGGCGUGAUGGAGCGGGGCGGGCCCUGCGACGGCCUCUGUCGCUUCCGGAUUCACCUAGGCACGAGAGGGGACUGCCCGUUGCCCGCUGGGGACGGGGGUGAAACCUGAGGUGUGGUGUGCUUGGCUAGAGGGGGUUAUGCGAAGGGUCCUGUCACGGCCUCUUUCCGGUAUGUCGUGGUGGCAUGUCGGCGCACGGAAACGUGUCGUGGGGCUGUGUCUUGUGGGUACAAUUGUACACCUCUGAUCAGAGUAAAACUAUUCGAAUAGCCGCGCCCGCGGUUAUGGGCGGUCAACCAGAUUCACCGUGAUUAG
rnacentral:lncRNA from 1 species